CCAAAGCAUCUCAUUUCCUCCCUUUAAUUUGUCAUUUGCUGCUCUAAUAUUGAUUAUAACUAGACAUUAACUGGUUGGUAUUUAUUCAGUGACCUGUGAUCUUUACAUGCAGGCAGCAGUUUGGACAGAAAUAAAUGUUUUUAUCUUUUCUCAGGCAGUGAAGCAGCUGGAGUUUAUUCAGCAGUAAAAACAGGAGAAGUGACGUAUGGAGAGAUAGUCAUCAAUGAGAAGAAGAAGAAGAGGUCAAAGGCCAAAGAGAAUCAACCAGACCCAGACCCAGAUGUUCUUUACUCCUCAGUGAGGACGCCCAGAGCUGACCUCUGACCUCCAGCAGCCGUUGGCUUCUUAUCACUGAGUUGGAUCUCCUGGGAUCAGCCCAUCACAUCAUGUUUAGAUGAACUGAUUUCCAGUAGCAGGUCAGGAAACCAGUAGCAUGAGCUAAGUGUUGCAGUCAGAGACUGAGCUAAUGGCUAACAGCAGCCCAAGCUAACAACAAGCUAAUUCUUUGCUUUUCUGCAUUUUAACUCUGUAGCAACAUGUUGACCAGCAGAGGAAAUUAAAAAAAUUCUUACAGCAGCUUUUACUGUGUGGCGACCAUGUUGGAUUUUAAGAUCCGGGUUGAAAUGUUUGAAUGUUUUUCAUCUGGAAAUUUAAGUUUCAGAUUAGCUUCAUGCUAAUUUAGCUUCUAAAGACAGAAGGGAUUUUAUUUAAUGCUUUAUAAUAAAUUAUUUUCUAGUAUCAGAAUCCAUGUUAAUAAAUGAAUAAAUUUAUUUUGUUUUUUAUGUAACUUUAAUGUCAUGUUAGUCUCAGGUUUAGAGGCGAGUUUUAUGAUCCAUUAAUCUCCACAAUCUUUGUUCCUCUCUUGUGUUUCUGUUUUAUUCAGAGACAACAGGUGUCAUAUUUGUUACUGUUACCCUGAACAGAAUGAAUUAAAAUAUAAACUAAUUUACUGCAGAAAACUGUGAAAACUUAAAAUAAAAUUUGGUUAAAAUUGAAUAUCUGAGCUCUGAUUUAUCCUGAUGUAUAACAUCAGGCUGCAGGACGAAUGAAAAGCUGGAGAUUCUAAAAUAUUAACUCAACAUGAAACGUUUCCUUUAAAACCAGUUUUAUGAAUUAAAUGAGUAUUUUCAGUUUUUAUUUGAGUUCAGAUGAAGGUUUUAAUUACAGCAUCUUCAGCUGCUGAGAGCUGCAGUGAUGAAGGAGUGAUGAAGAGGAGGCUGAUCUAACUCAGCUUGUCUUUGUGCAACAUAAAUCAGCCUGAUUGCUAAUGUAACCUGAACUUUAAAUGUUUAAUAAUCUAAAUUAUGUUUUCAGUAACUUAGUGCCGCCUGUUGAUAAACAUCAGCAGCAGAAACUGAAUCUGUUUUUCUCGUCGUUGUGUAAAAACUUUUACCUUCUUCCCAUCGUUGCCUCAGACUCUGAUGCUUCCAGACUUUUCUUCAUCUGUUGGCUCCUUUAAGCUGCAGUCAGACUAAAAUCAGCUCCUUUUAGCUUCUCAGUUUCACUCUAACUUUACAUUUCCUGGUUAUUUUCACAUCUAAAAGCAGAAGUUCACAUGUUGCAGCUGCUAUCUGAACAUUUCUGCUUCUGGUCAUUUUUUCCAAUCAGUUUUAGAAGAGUUUUUCUGCUCUGUGGUGAAAUGUGAUAUUUGCUGAUAGAGACGAGAAGCCGAUCAGUUCCUCUGAUUUAUAUUUAGUGAUUAGCCGCCCAGUUGUUGAGGGGAGAUUAAAACCUGUGAAAACCUGACGAUGUU